ACUGGAAUUGAUCUAAUUUUGUCUGAGGAGGCUGCCGAAAGCAAAUAGGGCACUUGUUGGGUGAGAUGGGGUGCCCAUAUACCACUUAUAGAAGAAGAGAAAGCCAUCUGAGCUGUCAGAAAUACUCAUUUGAUCAAGGCAUCACUUUUUUCCUGACAUACCCAGAUUAAGGCUGUAACCCCUGGGGUUUGGGGCUGUAGGCACAGCCACCCAGCCAGCCUCUUUGCCUCACAUCGUCUCUCUUUGUCUGUAAAUAGCACCGAGGAGCAGCAGGUUGGAGGCCCAGCUUCAACAGCUGACCGAGCCAGGUGUGUUUCCAUUGGCUGCAGGGGCCAGGGUGAGCUCUAUUUUCUUCUGUACAUAAAGAUAAGAAGCCAAGGGCCCCCUUCCGAAAGCAAACACAUUUAAUUUGAACCACCACCUCCCCAUGAUUCACCGGAUGGAAUUUACGAUGGUGUUUACCCUUUUCCACAAAAGUAGCAAAUGAAUCAGUCCUAAUAGGAAAUAUAAAUCCUUAGCAGAUGCAUUUGGAAGCUCACAGGGGAGAUUUUGCUGAGGAGACCACCGGGAGUCCAGAGUGUCCCCUCUCCAGAACUAUAAAGACUGGUCCAGUUCUCUGGAGGAGAAGCAACUCCAAUGACGAGCAAAACAAGUCUUUGCAUGUGCCAAGUUCUGCUUGGCCCCUCUUAGCAGCGGGAAUCCAGACAAAACUCCAGGAAUGCUUUGCUGGGCAGCUGUGGUACAUUCAAAGCGGAGAAACAGCCUUAAUCUUUGCAAAACCAACAAAGAUAAGCAAUUGCUUUAGCUGGGUUGAAAUUAGCCAACGCACUGCUACACAAUGUCCUUGUGACCAUUAUCCAGGCUCUGACCGCCGAAUGGCACUGCUCAAGUAUGCUGGCAAUGUUUAACAAACCAUCUGUCUUGUACCUGUUCCCACUGAACAGGAGCCUUUGUCUGAGCCCUGGCCCCAUCCAGCAUGUCUGCUGUCUGCUCGCCGACAAGUGACACCACACCUUCUCUUUGCAUCAUAUCAGUUUCUCAACACUCUUGAUGAUGGUUUGUCCUUCUACGGAAAGAGGACAGUUUUGAAAGGGGAUAUGGAUUUUCCGUCUGUCCAUCUAUUACAUUACAUUAUCACUGUGUGUAAAAGCCUUACUUGCCUAUUUGAUUUUUCUUCUUUUAGGAGGAAUUUCUGUAUUCAUUCAAAUAAUUGAUUUCUCCUGCUCUGCCUUGUCCUGCUCAGAAGUAAUAUGUCCCCAUGUUCGUUUUCUACAUAUCACAAUGUAGACACACAGUUGAUCCCUGGACAACAUGAUUUGAACUGUGAAGAUACACUUAUAUGUGGAUUUUUAAAAAUAAAAACAGUAUGGGGCUAUAAAUGUAUUUUCUCUUCUUUAUGAUUUCCUUAAUAUAUUUUUUGUCUCUAGCUUACUCUAUUGUAAGAAGACAAUGCAUAAUACACACAAUGUGCACAAUAUUAUUAAUCAAUGGUUUGUGUGAUCAGUAAGGCUUCCAGUCACAGGAGACUAUUAAUUGUUAAGUUUUAGAGGAGUCAGAGUCAUAAGUGGGGGGGUGGUGUCCUUUACCCCCACAUUGUUCGAAGAUCAUACUGUUGGCUACAACUGUCUCUGGUAUGUCUUCACAAUGGUAACCAUAGAAAUCAGCUUCAUGGUGAUGCUGUCCUUGAAACUCACCCUUCAAGCCCUCACCCCAGCGGUCCGACCUCAGGCCUGGAUGCCAAGCACCACCUAGCUGCCUUAUCUCCACCCCUCACUUGGACUUUCAGGACAUGCUUCUUAUCUAUCCAGGAGACUGGGUUUGAUAAGGGGUAAACAAAAAGUUAGAUGCACAGGGGCUCCAAGAAGCAUAGAGUAUGGAGUUGAAAAUAGCUCUGUGUUUGGAGAUCUUUAAACAUAUGUGUCCACACUCAUGUUCUAGCACCCAGAGAUCCCCACCUUUAUUUCAUUAUGCUCAUGGGCAUGUCCUAAACUCAGAGCACACAGAUCAAGUUGAAGGAAUCCAAAUGCCCACGCUGUCUUUCUAGAGGAAAUUUGGAAAACAAAACAGUUGCUUUAAAACCAGCAGCACAACAAAUCUUGUCCUUAAAUCUAAAUCUUCACUGAAGGCAGAAAGGAAAGCAAAGAUAGAGGAUGGGAAAUCUCUUCAGAUUUUAACUUCUGGAAUAUCUUGGGGAAGAGAAGCAAUUGUGGGAGCAGUCUAACAGAUUGGUGGUCCCCACUGGGGGCUCAAGGAAAGAGGAAUUCCUUUAUAUUUUUAAUCUCAUCCUUCAGUUUCAAGUUUGGUGUAUGUUCUACGCUUUGUAAGGGUUUGAAUGGUGAUACUCACUGUGGCUGCACAUCAGAAUCACCUGGAGGCUUUGAAAACUCCCAAUGCCCAGGCCAAGAGAUCAGACUCAUUGCAUGGGGGACGCGUGGCCAGGAUUUCAGCAUUCCUCAAGUGAUCUGAAUGGAUAGCCAAGGCUGAAAAAAGUAGAAUUUUAGAUUUAAAACAGGGUUAAAAAUAGACUUUAUUAGAUUGCUGUUUUUAUUAUAAAAGAAAUAUGGGCACAUUAUAGAAGUUUGGAUGGAGCAAGGAUGUUGGGGGAGGAUGUCACCCCAUAGUUGCCCCAUGGCCUCGGGGCUGCUAUAUAGAUAGUGCAUCUGUGCCCUAUUUGGGUCUCCAUUCCCAGAAGGGUGGAUGAGGGCUGGCCGCCAGGGCAGGGCUGUACGGCGGAGGACACACAGGAUGUAAUGUAUUUUCUGUGUCUGCGUCCCUGUGUGGGCACAGUGAGGGCUGCACUCAAUAAAUGUUUGUAGGAUGAGUGAAUGGAAGCAGGAAGGCAUGAAUUCAUGAAAAGCGGCCUAAGACACGGUCCCUGCCCUCUAGGAACUUACAAAGGGGCAGUUGAAUAGACAUUAUAAUGACAAUAAUCGGAUGGCAAUAACAGUUCCUGCAUCAGUGGCUGUGUGUGUCUGUGCACGCAGCCCUGCAGCCAGGGAAACCAGGGGAAAGUUUUUGAAAACUCUGUUUUGUAGCUAGGGCCUCUCUUAUCUUUAUUAAUGCCCUGCAAGGCCCUGACAC